GCUUUGGAAUUUGUAAGUGUUUUGGAGUUUGUAUGUGCUUUGUCUCUAGGGGCCACCGUAGAUUUCUAACCUGUACCAGUACCCUAGGGUGGCUGCGGAUGACCCAGUUAUUGGUUUUUUGUUUUUUUUUUUUGAAAGAAAAAGAAAAGAAAUGAAUGAUGUUGGAGCACAAACUAAGUGAAGUAAUGUAAAACUGAACACUGUUGCAUCAUCUGAGGAAGUUAUCGUUUCCUGUGCAACGGUUUCCCUGCAUGCCACUGAAAAAUGAGAGUCAGGUUUGUUAGGAUCUAAACACACUGUAGCCCCACUGGAGAUUUCAUUAAAAAACUCAAUUUGAUUUCUUUAUGAAAUGUCUUUCACAGAAAGCCAUCUUAGCAAACAUGUUUGGACAAUCAGUGAACAGUUUUACCUGUAUCACUGAAAGCUACCCCAUCGUUAUUUGAUUUGGAUUGAGCACAGUGUCUUUCAGGGCAGAGGGCAUGGCAUGAUUCACUACACUAGUUUUUGGUACAAAGUUAUGUAACAGGAUGUACUGCCGUUGUUGUAGAUUAACUGGCAUUGGUCAAACAGAUGUGUGGUAGACUUGCUUUUAAGGAGGCGAUACAGACAAACCAGCAAAUAAACGCUAAAUAUUUAAUCUGUGACAUUUGUGAGGUUACUAUGGGCUCAAAUUGUGGUCACAAAUAUUUUGUACUUGUAAAUCAAAUGCGUAGCUGUGAACUGAGUUUUGUAACCUUGUAAACCCAAAUAUCUGAAACUUUUAUAUUUGUGCGUCUAUAGAUGAGAAUUUGUUUUUGUAAAAAAUAUGAGUUACAAAUUGUUUUUGUUAAGGUGUGGUUACAGAUACAAAGCAAAAAACUAUGUGUAAAACUGCUGUCAAGUUCCCUGGCUGUGUGUGAGUUUCAGCAUGCAAGUAUGAAUUUUGAAUUAUGAAUAGUCUUAACUUAAUUUCAGCAUCUUUACUUUGUAGCUGGAUCUGCUAAAGUAUGAUGUGCCAGCUGGGGCCAGUGUGCAACAACAGUCUCUGGACAACUAAUUGUAAGAAAUCACACAACCAUGAGACUUUUAAAUGAAAUUACUAGAUUUAAUACAAUUUUCAAUUUACCCAUUUGGGGCAACAUAAGAACAAAUGGCAAAGAGCAGGGAUGUAACAAGGUGAGCAAAAAGAUUAAUGUUAAGUACAGUACCUGUUUUGUACAGAGCUCUGGUUAGGAGGAACUGUCCAGCCACUGGCAAAUGGACAUGCUCAACUGUUGCCCAUCCUAAACAGCAGGAGAUUACAUCCUGUGGUGUUUUUGUAUGCAAGGUAGGUAAAAUGCUCAUGGUGUAUUGUACUUGAAUAAACAGAUUCUAAUGAAUAGAAAAUGGUCAGCUUGCAGAACAAAUUCUAUCAGGGACAAAAUACACAGCCCUUAUGAAGAGAAGGGAGUUGCCAGGCUCAGACUGGACAGAGCGCCCUGUCUGUUCCAAAACUCAGGUAUACCCGAAAAACUGCAUUUGGGUCUUCAUAUAAAAUAUUUAUAUGUAUAUCCUCAUUGUGGCAUAUAUUUUCAGAUGACCUUUUCCAGCCAUGCCGUGCCUGUGGCAAGAAAAGCUCUGGUGCAGAAACCGAUGAGUGGAUUGAAUGCACCUGCUGUGGAAAGUCAUACAAGGACUGUGCAUGGACUUCCCCUGUACACAAUGCGACUACAAAUGUUGCGCAGGCUUAAUACACAGAAAAAAAUUAUCCCUGUUGUCUUUGCUUAAUGAUUGGUUUAAGUGUUGACAAUCCAAAUUGCUGGCAUUGCAUCUUUCAGCAUGUUUGUGGGUAGAUCUGAAUGCAUCAGGUUUAAGUGCAGCAACUCAGCCUCUACUCAGGGUGGUCAUAGAACCAGGUGCAGAUGUGUCACAAGUUAACCUGGUAGUAGGCUAAGGCACUUGGCCACAGGUGGCAGUAGUGGACUAAUGCCAUUGUUGCCAUUGUUUGGGGCUGCAUGAGUGCUGCUGGCACUGAGGAGCUACAGUUAAUUGAGGUAACCAUGAGUGCCAACAUGUACUGUGACAUACUGAAGCAGAGCACGAUCCCCUCCCUUCAGAAACUGAGCCACAGGACAACCAUGUCUACAAACUUAAACCCUAUUGAGCAUCUGUGGGGCAUGCUCAAGGGGAAGGUGGAGGAGCACAAGGUCUCUAACAUCCACCAGCUCCAUGAUGUCAUAAUGGAGGAGUGGAAGCGGAUUCCUGUGACACCCUGUGAAACUCUAGUGAACACAGUCCAACAGAGUUAAGGCAGUGUUGGAAAAUAAUGGUUGCCACACAAAAUAUUGACACUUUGACAUGGAAAAACAUGUUCAUACAAAAGAAGUGUAUAGGAAAUUUUGUCAUCCAAAUGUAUCAGGUUUUAUCAACCUCUUUCAGAACAUGAUUUAGUGUGGGGGUUUUUUUGUUUUUGUUUUUCCUCAUAAUUUGUAUUAAUAUAAUUUAUGUAAAAUUGUAAUUUGAACCUUUUAUAUCUAUAUGAUUGGUAAUGGCAUGGAUGUAUGCCAAGAUACUAAAAGAGAAACUUAUGUUACUCGGCUAAAGGUAUAGAACUAAUUUUGUGUGUGUAUUUUUUUCUUCUUAAAAAAAAAAGCAAUCAGUAGGCAUAGAAUGAAUUUUGUAUGUAUUUUCUUUUAUUAAAAAAAUAAACUCAACAGCCAAUCAGCAUUUGGUUUUUAAUGUCAGAUUAACUUCAGGUACAUUUAUGCAAAUUAGCACACUUGUGCUAAUGAGGUGGUACUCAUUGCAAAAAGUUUGAGAACCACUGGUAAAGUUAAAGUCAUUAGUGGUGAUACAUAAAGGAGAAGAUGAGGGACAUUCAACAUAUAUGAAAGAAAGUCUCAUGUAGGUAACAAAUACUGCAUUGGUACAACAUCUCAGCACCUGUUUCAGUUUAGUUGUUAUUCAGCCUUCCUUUUUGUCUUUCCUUUCCUGACACAGCACCUGUGCAAGCAGAAACUGCAGGUCUUGAUGAAGAUGAA